AGUGAACGCUGGCGGUAGGCCUAACACAUGCAAGUCGAACGGCAGCACAGGAGAGCUUGCUCUCUGGGUGGCGAGUGGCGGACGGGUGAGGAAUACAUCGGAAUCUACUCUGUCGUGGGGGAUAACGUAGGGAAACUUACGCUAAUACCGCAUACGACCUACGGGUGAAAGCAGGGGACCUUCGGGCUUUGCGCGAUUGAAUGAGCCGAUGUCGGAUUAGCUAGUUGGCGGGGUAAAGGCCCACCAAGGCGACGAUCCGUAGCUGGUCUGAGGGGAUGAUCAGCCACACUGGAACUGGGACACGGGCCAGACUCCUACGGGAGGCAGCAGUGGGGAUUAUUGGACAAUGGGCGCAAGCCUGUUCCAGCCAUACCGCGUGGGUGAAGAAGGCCUUCGGGUUGUAAAGCCCUUUUGUUGGGAAAGAAAUCCAGCUGGCUAAUACCCGGUUGGGAUGACGGUACCCAAAGAAUAAGCACCGGCUAACUUCGUGCCAGCCGCCGCCGUAA
rnacentral:rRNA from 1 species